rnacentral:rRNA from 1 species
GAUGAACGCUGGCGGCGUGCCUAAUACAUGCAAGUCGAGCGAAUGGAUUAAGAGCUUGCUCUUAUGAAGUUAGCGGCGGACGGGUGAGUAACACGUGGGUAACCUGCCCAUAAGACUGGGAUAACUCCGGGAAACCGGGGCUAAUACCGGAUAACAUUUUGAACCGCAUGGUUCGAAAUUGAAAGGCGGAUGCGGCUGUUACUUAUGGAUGGACCCGCGUUGCAUUAGCUAGUUGGUGAGGUAACGGCUCACCAAGGCAACGAUGCGUAGCCGACCUGGGAGGGUGAUCGGCCACACUGGGACUGAGACACGGCCCAGACUCCUACGGGAGGCAGCAGUAGGGAAUCUUCCGCAAUGGACGAAAGUCUGACGGAGCAACGCCGCGUGAGUGAUGAAGGCUUUCGGGUCGUAAAACUCUGUUGUUAGGGAAGAACAAGUGCUAGUUGAAUAAGCUGGCACCUUGACGGUACCUACCAGAAAGCCACGGCUAACUACGUGCCAGCAGCAGCCGCCG